GUUUAUCGAGUUAUAAUUAAGAGCAAAAUAUUGACCUGUUGGAAUAUGGAUGAUUUGGAUGGUUAUGUAGGACUAUCUUUACCACUUAAAUGUAAUAUGUGAAUAUUGUUGCUCGUAUAUAUUGUAUGUUCCACCAAAUAUACUUUCAGAUUUUCUUGUUUGUUUCUUCUAUAAGAAUAUAACUUGCUUCUUUGAAAUUUCAACCAUUGUAUUUGCAGAUAAUUUCUUUUCUUCAGCAGAAAAUGCAGAUUCUCAUGUUGCAGAGAGAAUACCCUCCGUAAGAGAAAAUGUUAAAAUGUUACUAAUCAGGUUGUGAGAAUUGGAUAUGAUUUGCUAGCUCAUCUUUUUGAUGAAUUCCCUCUCGGGAAGUUUUUGAGGAUGCUCGUGACUUUGCACGAUGAUAUGGAGGUUUGUUAUGGGAAGACUCAACAAAGAGUACUUAUAUGCACAUGUGAGAAUUGAACACUUGAAAAAACAUACCCUUGUUUUUCCAUUAGAGGAUGCAAAAUUACCAGAUAUGAAUGAGAAAAAAAAACAAAAAAAAAAAAAGAAGAAAGGAGGGAAGAAAUUUGAGAAAA